GCCAGCAUGGCAUAGUGGUUUGAGUGUUAGACUUUGACUUUGAAGACCAGGGUUCGAUUCCCAGGUUGGUC